rnacentral:rRNA from 1 species
AUACGGAGGGUGCAAGCGUUAAUCGGAAUUACUGGGCGUAAAGCGCUCGUAGGCGGCUUGUAAAGUCGGAUGUGAAAGCCCCGGGCUCAACCUGGGAACUGCAUUCGAUACUGGCAAGCUAGAGUAUAGUAGAGGCAAGUGGAAUUCCGGGUGUAGCGGUGAAAUGCGUAGAUAUCCGGAGGAACAUCAGUGGCGAAGGCGACUUGCUGGACUAAUACUGACGCUGAGGAGCGAAAGCGUGGGGAGCAAACGGGAUUAGAUACCCCUGUAGUCC